rnacentral:rRNA from 1 species
GAUGAACGCUGGCGGCGUGCUUAACACAUGCAAGUCGAACGAAACACCUUAUUUGAUUUUCUUCGGAACUGAAGAUUUGGUGAUUGAGUGGCGGACGGGUGAGUAACGCGUGGGUAACCUGCCCUGUACAGGGGGAUAACAGUCAGAAAUGACUGCUAAUACCGCAUAAGACCACAGCACCGCAUGGUGCAGGGGUAAAAACUCCGGUGGUACAGGAUGGACCCGCGUCUGAUUAGCUGGUUGGUGAGGUAACGGCUCACCGAGGCGACGAUCAGUAGCCGGCUUGAGAGAGUGAACGGCCACAUUGGGACUGAGACACGGCCCAAACUCCUACGGGAGGCAGCAGUGGGGAAUAUUGCACAAUGGGGGAAACCCUGAUGCAGCGACGCCGCGUGAGUGAAGAAGUAUUUCGGUAUGUAAAGCUCUAUCAGCAGGGAAGAAAAUGACGGUACCUGACUAAGAAGCCCCGGCUAACUACGUG